rnacentral:rRNA from 1 species
AUUGAACGCUGGCGGCAUGCUUUACACAUGCAAGUCGAACGGUAACAGGCCGCAAGGUGCUGACGAGUGGCGAACGGGUGAGUAAUGCAUCGGAACGUGCCCAGUCGUGGGGGAUAACUACUCGAAAGAGUAGCUAAUACCGCAUACGAUCUAUGGAUGAAGGCGGGGGACCGUAAGGCCUCGCGCGAUUGGAGCGGCCGAUGUCAGAUUAGGUAGUUGGUGGGGUAAAGGCUCACCAAGCCAACGAUCUGUAGCUGGUCUGAGAGGACGACCAGCCACACUGGGACUGAGACACGGCCCAGACUCCUACGGGAGGCAGCAGUGGGGAAUUUUGGACAAUGGGCGCAAGCCUGAUCCAGCAAUGCCGCGUGCAGGAAGGAGGCCUUCGGGUUGUAAACUGCUUUUGUACGGAACGAAACGGCUCUGGUUAAUACCCGGGGCUAAUGACGGUACCGUAAGAAUAAGCACCGGCUAACUACGUG